rnacentral:rRNA from 1 species
CCUACGGGUGGCAGCAGUGGGGAAUCUUUGGCAAUGGGCGCAAGCCUGACCCAGCAACGCCGCGUGAAGGAAGAAGGCUCUCGGGUUGUAAACUUCUUUUCUCAGGGACGAAGAAAGUGACGGUACCUGAGGAUUAAGCCACGGCUAACUACGUGCCAGCAGCCGCGGUAAUACGUAGGUCGCAAGCGUUUUCCGGAUUUACUGGUUGUACAGGGCGUGGAGGGGGGGAAGCCAGUCAGUUGUGAAAACCACGGGCUCCACCUGCGGCCUGCAUUUGAAACUGUUUUUCUUGAGUACUGGAGAGGCAGACGGAAUGCGUAGUGUAGCGGUGAAAUGCGUAGAUAUUAGGAGGAACACCAGUGGCGAAGGCGGUCUGCUGGACAGCAACUGACGCUGAAGCGCGAAGGCGUGGGGAUCAAACAGGAUUAGAUACCCCAGUAGUC